UACGGAGGGUGCAAACGUUGCUCGGAAUUAUUGGGCGUAAAGCGCACGUAGGCGGCUUUCUAAGUCAGGGGUGAAAUCCUGGAGCUCAACUCCAGAACUGCCUUUGAUACUGGAGAGCUUGAGUCCGGGAGAGGUGAGUGGAACUCCGAGUGUAGAGGUGAAAUUCGUAGAUAUUCGGAAGAACACCAGUGGCGAAGGCGGCUCACUGGCCCGGUACUGACGCUGAUGUGCGAAAGCGUGGGGAGCAAACAGG
rnacentral:rRNA from 1 species